rnacentral:rRNA from 1 species
CCUACGGGUGGCAGCAGUGGGGAAUAUUGGGCAAUGGGCGCAAGCCUGACCCAGCAAUGCCGCGUGAAGGAAGAAGGCUUUCGGGUUGUAAACUUCUUUGACAGGGGAAGAGUAGAAGACGGUACCUGUCGAAUAAGCCACGGCUAACUACGUGCCAGCAGCCGCGGGAAUACGUAGGUGGCAAGCGGUGUCCGGAUUUACUGGGUGUAAAGGGCGUGUAGCCGGGUUGACAAGUCAGAUGUGAAAUCCUGCGGCUUAACCGCAGAACUGCAUUUGAAACUGUUGAUCUUGAGUGCUGGAGAGGCAGACGGAAUUCCUAGUGUAGCGGUGAAAUGCGUAGAUAUUACGCGGAACACCAGUGGCGAAGGCGGUCUGCUGGACAGCAACUGACGGUGAGGCGCGAAAGCGUGGGGAGCAAACAGGAUUAGAUACCCGGGUAGUC